rnacentral:tRNA from 2 species
GCCCGCAUAGCUCAGUUGACAGAGCGACACAUAGGCUUGGUAGUAACGGUAAUAGACACCCGGUUUGAAGACAGAGUACGGGAAUCCAAGACAUUGAGUAGGUCGCCGGUUUGAAUCCGGCUGUGGGCACCA